rnacentral:rRNA from 1 species
AGUCAAGAAAGAAAGGGCGCAAGGUGGAUGCCUUGGCACAUGAAGGCUAUGAAGGACGUAAGUGAACGAAAACUAGGGAGAGCUCACAAAAAGCACUGACCCCUAGGUCUCCGAAUGGGGAAACCCGGCUGUGGAAGACACAGUCAUUACUAAGUGAAUACAUAGCUUAGUAAAGCAAGACCCUGUGAACUGAAACAUCUAAGUAACAGGAGGAAAAGAAAGAAAACUCGAUUUUCCAAGUAGCGGCGAGCGAAAAGAAAAGAGCCUAAUCCAUUGAGGAAUAUCUAGUUAGUCGAAUCAUCUGGGAAGAUGAACCAAAGAAAGUGAAAGUCUUGUAGACGAAAACUAAAUAAACCAGGGAGGAAAGUAGCACCGGACACGAGGAAUCCGUUGUGAAGAUAGGGGGACCAUCCCCUAAGGCUAAAUACUAACAUGUGACCGAUAGCGAACAAGUACCGUGAGGGAAAGGUGAAAAGAACCCCGAAAGGGGAGUGAAACAGAACCUGAAACCUAGUGCCUACAAGCAGAGAGAGCACAAUAGUGUGAUCU